UGGGGAAUAUUGGACAAUGGGCGCAAGCCUGAUCCAGCCAUGCCGCGUGGGUGAAGAAGGCCUUCGGGUUGUAAAGCCCUUUUGUCCGGAAAGAAAAGUCCCGGGUUAAUACCCUGGGGUGAUGACGGUACCGGAAGAAUAAGCACCGGCUAACUUCGUGCCAGCAGCCGCGGUAAUACGAAGGGUGCAAGCGUUACUCGGAAUUACUGGGCGUAAAGCGUGCGUAGGUGGUUUGUUAAGUCUGAUGUGAAAGCCCUGGGCUCAACCUGGGAAUGGCAUUGGAAACUGGCAGGCUAGAGUGCGGUAGAGGAUGGCGGAAUUCCCGGUGUAGCAGUGAAAUGCGUAGAGAUCGGGAGGAACAUCUGUGGCGAAGGCGGCCAUCUGGACCAGCACUGACACUGAGGCACGAAAGCGUGGGGAGCAAACAGG
rnacentral:rRNA from 1 species